rnacentral:tRNA from 1 species
GCCCACGUCGCAUAGUGGUAUUGCACGGCACUGGAGAUGCCGGCCCUUUGGGCUCCCAGGUUCAAUUCCUGGCGUGGGCG